GAUAUGUGAAUACAUAGCAUAUCAGAAGGCACACCCGGAGAACUGAAACAUCUUAGUACCCGGAGGAAGAGAAAGAAAAUUCGAUUCCCUUAGUAGCGGCGAGCGAAACGGGAAGAGCCCAAACCAACAAGCUUGCUUGUUGGGGUUGUAGGACACUCUAUACGGAGUUACAAAGGACGACAUUAGACGAAUCAUCUGGAAAGAUGAAUCAAAGAAGGUAAUAAUCCUGUAGUCGAAAAUGUUGUCUCUCUUGAGUGGAUCCUGAGUACGACGGAGCACGUGAAAUUCCGUCGGAAUCUGGGAGGACCAUCUCCUAAGGCUAAAUACUCUCUAGUGACCGAUAGUGAACCAGUACCGUGAGGGAAAGGUGAAAAGCACCCCGGAAGGGGAGUGAAAUAGAACCUGAAACCGUGUGCUUACAAGUAGUCAGAGCCCGUUAAUGGGUGAUGGCGUGCCUUUUGUAGAAUGAACCGGCGAGUUACGAUUUGAUGCAAGGUUAAGCAGUAAAUGUGGAGCCGUAGCGAAAGCGAGUCUGAAUAGGGCGUUUAGUAUUUGGUCGUAGACCCGAAACCAGGUGAUCUACCCUUGGUCAGGUUGAAGUUCAGGUAACACUGAAUGGAGGACCGAACCGACUUACGUUGAAAAGUGAGCGGAUGAACUGAGGGUAGCGGAGAAAUUCCAAUCGAACCUGGAGAUAGCUGGUUCUCUCCGAAAUAGCUUUAGGGCUAGCCUCAAGUGAUGAUUAUUGGAGGUAGAGCACUGUUUGGACGAGGGGCCCCUCUCGGGUUACCGAAUUCAGACAAACUCCGAAUGCCAAUUAAUUUAACUUGGGAGUCAGAACAUGGGUGAUAAGGUCCGUGUUCGAAAGGGAAACAGCCCAGACCACCAGCUAAGGUCCCAAAAUAUAUGUUAAGUGGAAAAGGAUGUGGCGUUGCCCAGACAACUAGGAUGUUGGCUUAGAAGCAGCCAUCAUUUAAAGAGUGCGUAAUAGCUCACUAGUCGAGUGACACUGCGCCGAAAAUGUACCGGGGCUAAACAUAUUACCGAAGCUGUGGAUUGUCCUUUGGACAAUGGUAGGAGAGCGUUCUAAGGGCGUUGAAGCAUGAUCGUAAGGACAUGUGGAGCGCUUAGAAGUGAGAAUGCCGGUGUGAGUAGCGAAAGACGGGUGAGAAUCCCGUCCACCGAUUGACUAAGGUUUCCAGAGGAAGGCUCGUCCGCUCUGGGUUAGUCGGGUCCUAAG
rnacentral:rRNA from 1 species